rnacentral:rRNA from 1 species
UACGAAGGGGGCUAGCGUUGCUCGGAAUCACUGGGCGUAAAGGGUGCGUAGGCGGGUCUUUAAGUCAGGGGUGAAAUCCUGGAGCUCAACUCCAGAACUGCCUUUGAUACUGAAGAUCUUGAGUUCGGGAGAGGUGAGUUGGAACUGCGAGUGUAGAGGUGAAAUUCGUAGAUAUUCGCAAGAACACCAGUGGCGAAGGCGGCUCACUGGCCCGAUACUGACGCUGAGGCACGGAAAGCGUGGGGAGCAAACAGGAU